CCCUUCGGGGUGUGACUGCGUACCUUUUGUAUAAUGGGUCAGCGACUUAUAUUCUGUAGCAAGGUUAACCGUAUAGGGGAGCCGGAGGGAAACCGAGUCUUAAUUGGGCGUUAAGUUGCAGGGUAUAGACCCGAAACCCGGUGAUCUAGCCAUGGGCAGGUUGAAGGUUGGGUAACACUAACUGGAGGACCGAACCGACUAAUGUUGAAAAAUUAGCGGAUGACCUGUGGCUGGGGGUGAAAGGCCAAUCAAACCGGGAGAUAGCUGGUUCUCCCCGAAAGCUAUUUAGGUAGCGCCUCGUGAAUUCAUCUCCGGGGGUAGAGCACUGUUUCGGCUAGGGGGCCAUCCCGGCUUACCAACCCGAUGCAAACUGCGAAUACCGGAGAAUGUUAUCACGGGAGACACACGGCGGGUGCUAACGUCCGUCGUGAAGAGGGAAACAACCCAGACCGCCAGCUAAGGUCCCAAAGUCAUGGUUAAGUGGGAAACGAUGUGGGAAGGCCCAGACAGCCAGGAUGUUGGCUUAGAAGCAGCCAUCAUUUAAAGAAAGCGUAAUAGCUCACUGGUCGAGUCGGCCUGCGCGGAAGAUGUAACGGGGCUAAACCAUGCACCGAAGCUGCGGCAGCGAACGUAUCACCCAAGACAACUUUACGGAGUUGACGAUUGACGGAGCGAAGCGACGUCAAAGCGUUCAUUAAAGUCGAGUUGGCUUAGGGAUACGUUCGUUGGGUAGGGGAGCGUUCUGUAAGCCUGUGAAGGUGUGUCGUGAGGCAUGCUGGAGGUAUCAGAAGUGCGAAUGCUGACAUAAGUAACGAUAAAGCGGGUGAAAAGCCCGCUCGCCGGAAGACCAAGGGUUCCUGUCCAACGUUAAUCGGGGCAGGGUGAGUCGACCCCUAAGGCGAGGCCGAAAGGCGUAGUCGAUGGGAAACGGGUUAAUAUUCCCGUACUUGGUGUUACUGCGAAGGGGGGACGGAGAAGGCUAUGUUGGCCGGGCGACGGUUGUCCCGGUUUAAGCGUGUAGGUGUGUGUUCCAGGUAAAUCCGGUUCACUUUAACACUGAGGCGUGACGACGAGGCACUACGGUGCUGAAGCAACAAAUGCCCUGCUUCCAGGAAAAGCCUCUAAGCAUCAGGUAACAUCAAAUCGUACCCCAAACCGACACAGGUGGUCAGGUAGAGAAUACCAAGGCGCUUGAGAGAACUCGGGUGAAGGAACUAGGCAAAAUGGUGCCGUAACUUCGGGAGAAGGCACGCUGACACGUAGGUGAAGUGAUUUACUCAUGGAGCUGAAGUCAGUCGAAGAUACCAGCUGGCUGCAACUGUUUAUUAAAAACACAGCACUGUGCAAACACGAAAGUGGACGUAUACGGUGUGACGCCUGCCCGGUGCCGGAAGGUUAAUUGAUGGGGUCAGCGCAAGCGAAGCUCCUGAUCGAAGCCCCGGUAAACGGCGGCCGUAACUAUAACGGUCCUAAGGUAGCGAAAUUCCUUGUCGGGUAAGUUCCGACCUGCACGAAUGGCGUAAUGAUGGCCAGGCUGUCUCCACCCGAGACUCAGUGAAAUUGAACUCGCUGUGAAGAUGCAGUGUACCCGCGGCAAGACGGAAAGACCCCGUGAACCUUUACUAUAGCUUGACACUGAACAUUGAGCCUUGAUGUGUAGGAUAGGUGGGAGGCUUUGAAGU
rnacentral:rRNA from 1 species